UGUCCUCUGAGAGCCCUCCCCAACUCCCCUCUUGCCAUUUGUCACUCUGCUACCAAUACCACCUGGCGUAUAAUUGUGCUGCUGAAAGGUCUCCCUGACUUGACCCUGCCAUCCCUGAGGGCAGGGACAAGGUCCUUUAUUUUGGGGUCCCCAGUUCCCGACACAGAGAUGUUUAUGGAAGGAAAUCACCAGGAAACCCGGACUUGAAUUCCAUCAUUACCACCUUCCCAACCAUGUGCCCUUGGCCUCACUGGGCCUCCAUUUUCUUGCCUGCCUCCCUGCCUCCCUGCCAGGUUGGUGGAGGGGCGCUUUCCAUGAGUCUCUGCAACAGAUGUGUUUUGGAGACACUAAUCAAUACACACAAAUAGGGCCCAAAGAAGCAAGGCCGCCCACCCCAUCCCCUUCCUGGGGAUGCAGCUGAGAGGGGCCCCAGCUUCUGCAGACGCCUGGAUCCCUUUCUUGCCCCUCCCCGCCGCCCCCGCCCCCCUCGGCUCCAGGUGUCUGUCUCUCCGGCUCCGUUCUUUCCUGAUCCGGUUCAAAGGAACAAGAAAUCUGGGAGUGACGGCCACGGGGCGGGGGAAGGAGGGUGCAGGGGGCGGACAAAGCCAGCCCGCUCCGUCCAAAAGGAGGGCGCUCGGGCUCUGCGGGCAUCCACUCCACGGCAACUCUGACAGCUCAGCUCCCGCGAGGGGGAAGGCCGGAUGGGGCCAGCUCAGGGGAGGGGGGCCGCCCUAGUUAGAGCCCUCAGAUGCUCCUUUGAAAGCCUUUGCAGCCGUCCCCAGCCCUGGGGGCAGGGGUGGUGUAAUAAUAAUAAAACAACAUUUGCAUAGAGACUUCGUUUACAAAGCACUUUCUCAGGGGCGGGAGGCGCCGGGGUGGCCGGUGGAAUCCUGGCUGGGAGGCGGCGGCCUCGGGUUGGUUGCACCCCCGCCACCCCUCGGCCCUGCUCGUGGACUGUGCGAGGUGAACAAAGGGCCAUUCAUCCAACUGCUUCCGAUUCCUCUGGAUUUCAUUCCUCUUCUCCGCCCCGGGAAGAGCUCACUCCAGCUCAGGCCCGAGGAGGGAGGUCAGGAGUCCCAGGGGCGGCGUGGGCUGGACCCGAGGGAAGGGAAGGGGGGAGGCAGGGCCCUCCCUCCCUCCGCACCCCCCCCCGCCCCCACACCGUCUGGCUCCUGGGCGCCUGUGAAUCAGAGCUUCGGGGGCCGCCUCGCUGGGGCUGGUUUCUGCGACUCCUCACAGCUCACCUGCAGCUGUGUCUUCACCUCGAAAGGUCGGGCUCAGCUGUGUGCAGCUUCUUCGCUAAAGGGCUCUGCCACAAAGGGAAGCUGUGUCCAUUCUGACCCGACCGAGGGGAGACGCUGGUGUGUGCAAACCCAGGCUCCGGGGGCUGUGCAAGACGGGCGACCAGUGCAAGUUCCCGCACCAGUACGAUGUCACCACGUCACCCGAGUGCUACUUCUGCUCCAAGUUCAAUCGUUGACUGCAACAAGGAAUGUCCAUUUCUCCACGUGACGCCAGACUUCAAGAACCAGGACUGUCUGUGGUUUGACCAAGAUUUCUGCAAGGAUGGUGAGCCCCAACAGAAGGGGGCGCUAGGGGGUACAGGUCCCCUGUAUAAAUACCGCCACGUCCACGGGAUAAUGUGUAUUAACUACUUGGCAGGCUUCUGCCCCGAGGGACCCCAGAGCCACUUUGCACAGUAAGUAUGACUCCCACCCUACCCCCGAGUGCUGGGCCCAGCCCACUGGCUUUCAGACCUAGAACCUUCCAUGCCUUCACCAGCCCAAGCUGGGGAGCCAAGUGUCUGGCGAGCACCCUCGCAAUCGUCUCCGAGCAUCGCUCACCCUUCACGCGCCCCUCCGUAGUGCUGUCGGCUGCACUGAACUCUAACCCAUCCUGUUAGCGCGGAUUCACGCUGGGGAUGGGCGUACAGCUCUUCACAGACUGUUCUAGAAAUAGGAAUAGAGACAUUCAACACCCACCCUGCCCCCAUCCUUUGCAGUUCUCUCACUGCCUGGCUGGGGUGCCGGCUCCUGCCCCGUGGGGUUCUGAAACAGGAAACCUGCAGCAGGCUGGCGCAGGGCAUGUUAAUGAGCAGGUGAUGGGUAGGGGGGAGGCUAGAGCCCGGCUGUAACCGUCUCUCCACGCUUCCCUCAGUCCCAGGAUGAAUCUUUUAUUCAACCCAAGUUACCUGAAGGUGAGUGCAGGCAGGAAGGGGUAGAGGGGCUCUUUCCUUCACUACCCACUCCUCGGAGCACUUCCUCCCCAGCCCUGCACUGCUCCCAGCGGCCCUCACUCGUGCAGCAUCUGGGAAAGGCACCCAUAUGUGGUUCCUUCAGUCCCCUGCCCCCCGGCCCCCAUCUUCCCUGCUUUAGGGGGAGCAUCUCAGCUUCUCAGCCCCUGAGGCUUUCCUUCUCUUUAGCUGGCUAAGACAUGUGUGGUUUUUAUAUUAAAGAAUGUGGGGUCUAGCUGAGGACUUGUGGUCCAGAGUUGUUCUGAAUCAGGGCCAUCCUGGGUGUACCUGGUCUCCAUGGACACAGAUACUCUUCCCACGGACCCCAAGCAUUGAUGGGAACCUCCAUCCCAGGUCAGCAAAUCUCAACCUGAGGGGCCAAAUGUAGCCCUUUACCUGUGUUUUUUUUUUUUUUUUUGUACAGCCUAGGACCUAAUAAUGAUUUUUUGAAGGUUAUGAACCAAAAAUUCAAAGUAAUAAUUUUGUGAGACGUGGAAAUGAAAAUUCCAGUGCUCAUAAAUAGCUUCACUGGCACAGGGUCAAGCUCAUCACUUACACAUUGUCUCUGACUGUUCUGCUUACGAUGGCAGAGCUGAAUAGCUGCAAGAGACCAGAUGGCUCGCAAAGCCAAAAAUAUUUACUAUUUGGUUUUCUACAGAAAAAGCUUUGCUUAUUCCUGGUCUGGAUGACUGGAUGUUGGCCUGCCAGUUAAUCUGACAGAGGCCAAAAUGGGAGCAUGGAAUGUUGGGGGCAGCUACUGAGCUCUUGUUAAUGAGGGGUUCUGCAACCCAGUCAAUCAGCGAGAGGGCCCAGCGCUGGGUUAGGACGGUGCUGGCACGGGAGGAGGGCGACCCCUGCUGGUUGCUGGUGGGAAGCCUCCUACAACAGGAAUUCACAAGCCCACUUUCUCCAUCAAAAGCUAUGCUUUAGGCAGUUCAGGGCAUUUCAAUGGAAUGAGGGCAUUUCACUACCUGGUUCCUGGCCAGAGCCUCUGCCCUCUGUGUAAACCCUGUCUACAGAUGGAGGCUCUGCAAUGUUUCCUCCUGGUUUCACUUUAUCUGCAGCUUGUCAAGAGCCACCCAGUUCCCCACCUCCUGCUUCUGCCUGGGAAGCUGGCAAGCCCCUUCCCCAACAGGCUUCGGGCUUCCUUCCCCAUCCUAAGAGGCCCUAGGGGCACCAGGUCACCUACCGCCUGGGGCUCAGGUGCUGGAGAAGGGAGCCUGAUGUGGGUGAGUGAUAAUGGGGCCGGGCUCCUGCUCUGUUGAGGCUGAGGGGAGAGGUGAUCAGCUGGAGAAAGUGAAGCUCCUUUUCUGAAGCAGGUAAGAAAACCAGACCCUGGGCUUAGGCGUGUGAAUUAAGAGGAUGGGGGGAACUGAGCUGGCAAACCAAAUGUCCCAGCUCUAGCCUCUCAAUAACCUGAUCUUGUUUGCAUCUCCUGCCAGACCAUUUAUUUAAAAGGCUAGUAAGUUACACAUUUCAUUCCCUAUUCUGCUGCCAGUGGUUCCCCGAGUUAUUGCUAUACCAUGGUCUGAGGGUCUGGCAGGGGUCGGGGGCAGCCUGGAAAGGAGGGGAAGGUCACACCUUGGAGCUCUCGGUUGCUGUCUUCUGCCUCCAGGAAGAACACCAUGUCUGACGCCUCCCUGAGACCCGCCUCCAUGUCGUCCUGACCUUCACCUUGUCUACUCUGCAAGAGGACAGCACUUAACAGGAUGGGAGUGUUGAAAAGAGCUACUAUGCCAGUCAGACUCAACUGGUAGGAGUUAUCAAAAACUGACCUGGUCUGUCUUGGGAAGUCGAGGACCUUCUUUCUGGUGAAGAUGCCCAAGGCCAUCCUGGGGGAUUCUCUGUCCCCAGCGCCCGGGCAAGUCCACUGCCAGCCUCGGCAGGAAAGGAGGUGCAGCAGCGGCCUGCACGUCUGGGUGCAUUUCCUCUUCUGUAAGUGAACGAGCUACUAAAAAUACAGCGGGAUGGUGGCAGAUUGUGGCAGGAACGAGUUAUUCCUAAGAGUGGGGAGCAAAGUGUCCAUAAACCCAAAGCUCAAGUGUGUACGGGAGAGACGGUCGUAUCCUCUGCUCAGCUCCCGCGCUGCUGCUGCUGCAGACAGUUCUGGGCGGCACGCGGCAGCUCCUGCACAUAUGGCCUCCACUGCUGCUAUAAAUUGGCAAUUAAAUCAAGUGUUUCUUUAUCAUGACAGCUGCUCCCUAUGGCUUAAAGUUUAGACUGUGCGAGCCUUGUGUGAGGACUGACGAGAUAGAUGGUUCAUGUGACGCUUAUCCUGGGGGGAGUGAGGAAGAGACGGGGAAGGUUGAAAGCCGUGCUGUCUACGCCACUGUGUAGCUUAACCCACUGGGAGAGGAGCAGGGAGGCGGAGCGUUUCAGGAGAAAACAGCGCCAAUUUAGUGUGGUAGGACAGGCUCACCGUACCUUUGGCAGAGGCGGGCACCUGCCUUAUCUUGCCUGGAGCAGGGAAGGGGGUGGUGGUGGUGGUGGUAAGGGGGCAAGGCAAUCUAAAAAGAAUGCCAGCCCGGGGACAGAUCUGGGGCUCUGAAUGCUGGCCCCACCCCGGGCUGCUGUGACCAACCCCACACAGCCAUGCAGGCUCAUGACUGAACCGCCUCUGCCCUUUUCCUCUUCUGGAAAAGUGUGAUGACAGCACUGGCCUCAGAGGAUGCUCGUGAGGAUAACAUGAGAGAUGCAGGUACGUGAGCCUGGAGUGUGGUGGGGCCCUUGCUCUUUGGUUCACGUUCAGGAUGUGAAAGCAGUAUGAUGCCAUAAGGCGUUUUAGAGAAGCUGUUACUUCGUGCCAACAUCGUGUCAGAGCUUGCUGGAAUUAACAGAUACAAGGCUCUUCUUCACAUCUCUGCAAAGUAGGUAUAAUUAUGCUCAUUUGACAGUGUGGACCAAGGAGGCGCCGAUUAAGUUUUAAGUUCCGUAACUUGCCCAAGGACACACCUACUGAGCCAUUUCACAGGUGAGGUCUGAAAGAGGCAAAUAAUCAGGAGAAAUACUUUUGGAAAGCACUUUUGUUAUGAAGAGGGGUAGUAAUAUGUAGGAGGUACAUGGCAGGGAGGAUCAGGUAUGGAGAGUCAUCAGGAUAAAAUGUCAAUCAGGAAAAAACACACUGAUAAACAGGAAGAUAGGGUUUUACAUAAAGCAUAAAAUAAGCCAUUGAUAAUAUAACAAAAUGACUUUAUUCUCAACAGCUGAAUAAACAUUCCUUCCCCAGGGAUAUGAGCACUGGGAUUAAUCUCGGUAGGUGGCAGGGCCUUCAGGCAGGCCUGUGAGUACUUCCAGCCUCCAGCCACGACCUCUUGUCUGUGAGUCUCGAGGAUGGAGCGGGGCGUGAGUAUCACAUCUGGCUCCUUUGCAGGAUGUUUGGGAAGGUGGAUGCUGCCUGCGGGUUUGGGUUCUCUGGUGGAGUUUCUAUGUAUGCUGCCCAGAAGCCUUGUUUGGGAAAUCAUGCCGCUGUCCUGCAAGCAGAAUCUAAGCGCUGCUGCUCAUCCAGGAAGCUCCCACCAAAACCAGGAAGAUGCGGCACGUGAUUUUGAGAGAGGACUUAGAACACCCUGUUGAAAGGUGCGUGUGGACAGCUGUCUCCUGGCUUUGUGAAGGGAUGAGCGCCUGCCUCCUGUGUGAAGCAGACCAGCCUCACGGGGAUGGAGCAGAGCAUCACCUGUCAGCAACUUUGGUUUUGAAAAGAACCUCACGUCUUUGUGGAUGAAGCCUGUAAGCCACCAGCUCGCACACACAGGACUGGCUGCGCACACGCACUCGCAGAAUGAACAAAAAUGCACCCACAUCAGGUAAGUACUGCUCCGACUGCAAACUGGAGCCACAAGGCACAUUCCUCGGUCAUGUCGAGUUUGUUUAGCUCUGAAUCUAGGGAGUUCCUGUCAUAGCCCAGUGGAAAUGAACCUGACUAGGAUCCAUGAGGAUGUGAGUUCAAUCCCUGGCCCCACUCAGUGGGUUAAGGAUCUGGUGUUGCCAUGAGCUGUGGUGUAGGUUGCAAAUGUGGCUUGGAUCCCGUGCUGCUGUGGCUGUGGUGUAGGCUGGCAGCUACAGCUCCAAUUUGACCCUCUGGGGAAACCAGAGACCCUGGGCGCCCCUCCUCUCACUAGCCUGGGAACUUCCAUAUGUAGCAUGUGUGGCCCUAAAAAGGAAUUUUAAAAAGACUCUUUUCUUAAAUUCAGAUCUAUUUUUUUAUCAGCUGACCUCAAUUCUUAAAACGCUUUGAACAUCAUGAUGAAAUCCUUAAGACUUAAUGAAAAGUUUAAGGAUUUCUCCUCCUCAGAUGGCAGCAACAAUUAGACAGGGAACUCUUGCCCUGUUACCUGUGUAUAGGAUCAAAUGAUUCCAGACUCUGGACAAAUUCCCGAUGGCUUUUUCAAAGUCAUCCACAUCAUUUCAAGGAUCAGUACUCAGCUCCUCUGCAUAGACGCGAUCCUGGGGUCAAAGUGGAGCUGGUUUGGGGCUGCUGACUGCUGUUUAUCUCAAAGCACAGCCGCAAAGCUCUUGGCCAAAUACCAGAUGACAAAACUGAGGCCCAGAGGGCGUAAGUCCCUUGCUCAAGGUCACGUGGAUCGUUUGCAUUCAUAUCUGCCCGGAAGCUCAGAGGAGCUGGUCAAGCACAUGCCUUGGCGGACACUGAAUCCGCAGAUGGUGUUAAACACGCAGGUACGCACGAAGGAAAAUGCUGUUUUUAUCUUUCUUCAGGGCCACAUGAGCAGCAAAUGAAGUUCCCAGGCUAGGGGUUAAACUGGAGCUGCAGCCUGGCCUACACCACAUCCCCAGCAAUGGCAGAUCCUACACCACAGCUCAUGGCAACGCCCAAUCCUUAACCCACGGAGAGGGCCAGGGGUGGAACUCGGGUCCUCAUGGAGACUGGUCAGGUUUGUUACCACUGAGCCACAACCAUGCAGUCAUUUACUGAGUCACUGCUCACCCCUCUGUGCGAGGCAUGAGGGAGCCCCGGAAAGCUGUCAACCCCAAGAAGCCGUCCCUCUUGGGGGUCCUGCUCCGUCUGCACACCUCUGUGUACCCAAGGGUAGAGAGGCAGCUCCAUACCUUUGGCCACGAUGAGCGCCCCCAGGAUGCUGGGCUAAAACCUUGAAGACAGCUGAGCUGCAACGGGAACUCCUGAAAAGGCUAUUUUGACUUGAAAUAGGCACAGACUGGGAGUUAUCAGAUUGAGAGCCUGCUAAACUUUGUCACUUCAUUCUGAUAGUUUACCAGGCUGGAGACAAGAUGGUGGAGACCAGGGACCCUGGGCCUGCCUCCUCUCACGAGAACACCGAAAUCACAACUAACCGCUGAACAACCAACAAUAAAACAGACUGGAACCUACCGAAAAAGAUACUCUACGUCCAAAGACAAAGAAGAAACCACAACGAGAUGGUAGGAGGGGUGCAGUCACAAUAUAAUCAAAUCCCAUGCAGUCUGGGUGGGGGACCCACAAGCUGGAAAACAACUCUAUCAGAGGCCUUCUCCCAUCAGGCCUCCCAGCCUCGGGGUUUGGCAGCAGGAGGAGGAGCAUCCAGAGCCCCGGCUCUGAAGGCAGCUGGGCUUGAUCACAGGAGCUCCCUAAGACUUGGGGAAAAAGACUCCAUUCCUGGAGGACGCACACGCGAUCUCGUGUCCACUGGGACCCAGGGCAAGAGCACUGACUUGACAGGAGCCGGAGCCAGACCUACCUGCCAGUCUUGGGGGCUCUCCUGGGGAGGCGGGGUGGCUGCAGCUUUCUCUAGGUCAUAAGAGGUGAUGGCGGAAAUGUAGAGACACGUUCAUCUACUUGAAGUCCCCUGCCAGAGAGAGACUUCUUGCUUGGGUAAGUAGCACCAAGACCUGGUCCUAUCCAACAGCUUGCAGACUCCAGUCCUGGGACACCUCAGGCCAAACAACCAAGGGUACUGGGAACAUGGGCCCACCUAUCGGCAGACAGGCUGCCCCGUGACUUCAACCACAGCCACCCUUUCUUUCUUUUUAGGGCUGCAACCACAGCAUAUGAAGUUCCUGGGCUAGGGGUUGGAGCUGCAGGCUUAGGCCACAGCAACGGCAGAUCCAAGCCACAUCUGCAACCUACAGGGCAGCUUGUGACAAUGCUGAGGCCAGGGAUCAAACUCAUAUCGUCGUGGGUACCAGUCGGGUUAAUCCACGGAGCCACAACGAUAACUCCAACACAGCCACCUUCAUGACAAGAUCUUGCCAACCCAAAGAGCCAGGUCCACCCACCAGUGGGCAGACAUGGGCCCCUCCAACAGCAAAGCUUGCAAAAGCCUCUAGAUCAGCCUCACUGGGGCUCGGACACCAGAAGCAAGAAAACUACAAUCUCACAACCUGACUCCACAAAUACAGGUCAGAACCAGCUUUUACAUUCUUUUUUUUUUUUUUUUGCCAUAUCCAGAGCAUAGGGACUGACUCUGAGUCAUGGCUGUGGCAACAAUAGAUCCUUUAACCCACUGGUGCCACAGCAGGGACUGAACCUGCACCUCCACUGCGAUCUGAGCUGCUACCAUUGGAUUCUUAACCCACUGUGCCACAGUGAGAACUCCUUCACUGAUCUUUUCUGUUUUCUUCAUUUCCAUUUCAUUUGUUUCUGCUCUGAUCUUUAUGAUUUCUUUCCUUCUGCUAACUCUGGGUUUUGAGAUUAGUCUCCACAUGAUGUGUUUUGACUAAACACUAUGCCAAUAUGCCACUGAACAACCUAAUGGAUCACUGAAGGAAUCAAAACUACCUAUAGAGAAAUGACAAUGAAGACACAACAACCCAAAGCUUACGGGAUACAGCAAAAGCAGUUUUAAGAGGGAAACUUACAGCAAUAUAAGACUACCCCCAGAAACAAAAAUCUCAAACAACUUAACCUUAUAUCUAAAGCAACUAGAGAAAAAGAACAAAUGAAACAUGGGGGGCAGGUCUGGGACACAGGCCACCAGGUGGGGCAUGGGUGCAGAUCACAUGGGUGCAGACACUGCCGCACCCAGCAUCCUAGCCCUUCUCAAAGCAGAAGCCUCCAUGGGAAAAGACAGAAGGAUGCUCAUCGAAGAAGAUAAAGGGUCGGAGCAAGAAGUCAGCUCUGCUGGGGACAUCUCAGCAUGGAGGAUGUGCAGGAAGCUAGGAUGAGGUACCCCUUAAACCAGCUAGAAUGGCCAUCAUCAAAUAGUCUACAAACACUAAAUGCUGGAGAAGGUGCCGAGAAAAGGGAACUCUUACUCUGUUGAUAGGAAGGUAAACUGGUGCCACCACAAGGGAAAACAGUAUGGAGAUUCCUCAAAAAAACUAAAAAUAGAAAUACCAUAGGAUCCAGAAAUUGCACUUUUGUGCAUCUAUCCUGAGAAAACCAUAACUUGAAAAGAUACAUGCACCCCAAUAUUCACUGCAGUACUAUUCACAAUGGCCAAGAUGUUGAAGCAGCCUAAAUGUCCAUCAACAGGAAUGGAUAAUGAAGAUGUGGUACAUACACACAAUGGAAUAUUACUCUGCCAUAAAAGAGAAUGAAAUAAUGUCAUUUGCAGCAACAUGGACGGACCUAGAGACGAUCAUACCAAGUGAAGUUAGACAGUGAAAGACAAACAUCAUACAGAUGUCACUUACAUGUGGAACCUAAAAAAAAGAUACAAAUGAACUUAUUUGCAGAAAAGAAACAGACUGAGUUUGGAAACAAACUUAUGGUUACCAAAGGGGACAGGCACAUGUAUACUGUGUUAUGUGGAAUGACUGGCCAAUAGGGACUUGCUAUAUAGCAUGGAAAACUCUACCCAAUAUUCUAUGAUGAUCUACGUGGGAAAGCAGCUGAAAGAGAAUGGACGUGUGUACAUGUAUAACUGAAUCACUUUGUGGUAUGGCAGACAUGACCACAACCUUGUAAACCACCUGUAUUUCAGUGAAACUUAAAACAAUGAAGAAAAUUACAGAAAACAAAAAAACACAUAAACAAAAUACACAAAUAACUCAUACAACAAAACAACCCAAUGAAAAAAUGGGCAGAAGACCUAAAUAGACAUCUCCCCAAAGAAGACAUGUGAAUAGUCAGAAGGCACACGAAAAAAUGCUCAACAUCACUAAUUAUUAGAGAAAUGCAAAUCAAAACUACAAUGAGGUACCACCUCAUAUCAGUCAGUAACGACCAUCCUUUCUAUGUCCACAAAUAAUCAAUGCUGGGAGUUCCUGUUGUGGGUCAGUGGAAACAAACCCAACUAGAUCUAUGAGGAUGUGGGUGAUCAUGGCCCUGCUCACUGGUUUAAGGAUCCAGUGUUCCCACAAGCUGCAGUGUAGGUUGCAGAUGUGGCCUGGAUUUUGUGUUGCUGUGGCAAUGGCUGGCAGCUGUAGCUCUGAUAUAAACCUUAGCCUAGGAACUUCCAUAUGCCAUGGGCGUGACCCUAAAAACAAAUGAAACAAAAAGCAAGUGCUGGGAAGGGUGUAGAGAAAAGGGAACCUACUAUACUGCUGGUGGGAAUGUAAACUGGCACAACCACUACGGAAAACAGUAUGGUGGCACCUCAGAAAACUAAAUAUAGAACUACCCUCUAAGCAUGUACCCCACUCCUGGGCAUCUAUCUGGAAAAAUUACAAUUCAAAAAAAUACAUGUACCCACAUGUUCACAGCAGUGCUAUUCACAAUAGCCAAGAGAUGAAAGCAACCUCCAUGUCCAUCCACAGAUGAAUGGAUUAAGAAGACGUGGUACAUAUACACACAAGGGAAUACUACUCAGGCAUAAAAGGAAUGAAUAAUGCCGUUUGCAGUGACAUGGAUGUAACUAGAGAUUAUCAUACUAAGUGAAGUCAGAAAGACAAAGACAAAAACCACACGACAUCACAUAUAUGUGGAAUUAAAAUAUGGCCUCCUCCCCCCAGGAUUAAGAUGCUGGAGUAGAAGGACUGGAGCUCACUUUUUUCAUGAAAACAACAAAAUUACAACCAACCUCUGAACAACCUUCAAGAAAAUAGACUGGAAACUAUCAAAAAAUAUACCCUGUUUCAAAAGAUAAAGAGGAGGCCAAUCCAGAUGGUAGGAGGGGCAGUUACCUGAUAAGCAACCCCAUACCCGCCAGGUGGGCGGCCCACACACUGGAAAGUAACCGUAUCACAGAGGCUCGCCCACAGGGAGUUCUGAGCCUGUCACGUUCUCAUGCCUGGGGGUGUGGCAUUGGGAGGAGGAGCCCCCAGAGCACUGGUGCUGAGGAUCAGCCGGGCUUGUGUGCAGGAGCUCCAGAGGCCUGGGGAAACAGAGAUUCUACUCUUGAAAGGCACACAACGACUUUCAUGUGCACUGGGUCUCAAGCCAAAGCAGAGGUGCCAGAGGAAUGUGGGUCAGACCUGCCUGCAGUUCUUGGGAUGAUCUCCUGGGACAACAGGGGGUGACUGUGGCUCCUUGUCGGGGAAGGACACUGGAGGCAAAGUCUCAGGAAGAAUCAGCUUGUGCUCCUCCAGAGGUGGCCAUUAUGGAAACAUCUGGGCCCACUCAUCAGGGCUGAGAAGCCCAGGGUGGGAUCACAGUGUCCCCCCGCCCCCUGCCCCAUCAGCUACUUAAAGACGCACCAGGCAUACAGCCAGCCCUCCAAUCACACCCAGAGACAAAGCCCCACCCACCCGAGGGACAGGAAUUAGCUCCAUCUACCAGUAGGCAGGCCCCUCCCAUCAGGAAACCUCCAGCAAGCCCCCUUACUAACUUCAGCCAUUGGGGGGGCAGACAUCAGAAGUGAGAGAGGCUACAGCCCUACUGCCUGCAAAAAGGAAACCACCCCAGAAGUCUAUACAAAAUGAAAUGACUAAGAUAAAAGAACAAGAAAAAAACCCAGAAAAACACCUAAGUGAUCUGGAGAUUACCAACCUCCAUAAAAAGUCUUUAGGCUGAUGAUAGUGAAGAUGAGUCAAGAUCGAAAUAAACGGGAGGCAAAGACUGAUAAAUUACAAGAAACACCCAAAAAAGCUAAGAGAAGAUUUAAAGAUUAAGCAAGCAGAGAUGCAAAAUACAAUAAAUGAGAUAAAAAAUUCACCAGAAGGAACCAAGAAGAGAAGCCAGGAGGCAGAAGAACGAGUAAAUGAGGUGGAGGGCAGACUGAUGGAAAUCACUGACACAGAACAGCAAAGAGAAAGAAGAUUGAAAACAAAUGAAGAGAGUCUCAGGGAACUCUGGGACGACGUUAAACACACCAAGAUCCGUGUUAUAGAGGUGCCAGAAGGAGAAAAGUGGGAGAAAAGGCCAGAGAAAAUUAUUUGAAGAGAUAAGAGCCCCAAAUUUCCCUAAAAUGGGGACGGAAUCACUCACUCAAAUCCAGGAAGCACGAGUACCAUAAACGACUAAAAUAAACCCAAGGAGGAACACCCAGACACACAUUACUCAAACUGACCAAAAUUAAAGACAAAUAGAAAAUAUUGAAGGCAGCCAGGGAAAAGAAACAAAUAACACACAGGAUAACCCUGAUAAGGCUACUGGCUGAUUUUUCAGCAGAAACCCUGCAGGCCAGAAGAGAGUAGCAUUAUAUACUUGAAGUGAUGAAAGGGAAAAAACCUCCAACCAAGAUUACUCUACCCAGCAAGGCUCUUAUUUAGAUUUGAAGGAGAAAUCUAAAGCUUUACAGACAAGCAAAAGCUAGGAGGAUUCAGCAACACUAAACCAGCUUUACAUCAAAUACUAAAGGAACUUCUCUAGGAGGAAAAGAAAAGGCCACAGCUAGAAACAAAAAUAUUACAAAUGACAAGGAUCACCAGUAAAGGCAUAUGUACAGUAAAGGCAGGAAAUCAACCACACAAAAACAUACUACCAAAACCAGAAACAGUGAGAAGAGGAUAUAAAUGCAGAAUACUGGAGGUGCAUUUGCAAUUAAGAGACCAAAAACUUAAAAACAAUCUUGCAUAUACAUAUAUAGACUCCUAUGUCAAAACUUCGUGGUUAACUGCCAACCAAAAAUCUACAAUAGAUACACAUACAAUAAGAACAAGCAAUCCAAACACAACACUAACGAUAGUCAUCAAACCACAAGAGGAGAGAGCAAGAGAGGGGAAGAGAAGACCAACAAAAACACAUCCAAAACAGUUAAUAAAAUGGCAAUAAGAACAUAUGUAUCAAUAAUUACCUUAAAUGUAAACAGACUAAACGCCCCAACCAAAAGACAUUGACUGGCUGAAUGGAUACAAAAACAAGACCCUUAUCUAUGUUGCCCUCAGAGACCCACUUCAUUUCUAGGGACACAUACAAACAAAGUGAAAGGAUGGAAGAAAAUGUUCCAUGCAAAUGGGAAUCAAAAGAAAGCUGGAAUAGCAAUUCUCUUAUCAGACAAACAGACCUCAAAAUAAAGAAUAUCAUAAGAGAUAAAGAAGGACAUUACAUAAUGAUCAAUGGAUUAAUCCAAGAAGAAGAUAAUAAUUGUAAAUAUAUAUGCACCCAGCACAGGAUCACUUCAAUAUAUAAGGGAACUGUUAAAAACCUUAUAAGAAGAAAUUGACAAUAACACAGUAAUAGCAGGGGACUGUAACACCCAACUUACAGUGAUGGACAGAUCACCCAGACAGAAAAUCAACAAGGGAACACAGGGCUUAAAUGAUGCAUUAGACCAGAUGGACUUAAUAGAUUAUUUACGGAAUAUUCCAUCCCAAAGCAGCAGAAUACACAUUCUUCUCGAGUGCACACAGAACAUUCUCUAGGACAGAUCCCAUUCUGGGCCACAAAUCAAGCCUCGGUAAAUUUAAGAAAUCUGAAAUCAGAUUUCUAAGACUAGAAAUCAACAAGAAAAAAAUGCAAAAUUACCAAUACGUUGAGACUAAACAACAUGCUACUAAACAAUGAAUAGAUCACUGAGGAAAUAAAUCAAAGAGGAAAUUUAAAAACACCUAGAACCAAUGACAGCAAAAACACAAUCCAAAAUCUAUGGGAUGAGGCAAAAGCAGUUCUAAGAGGAAAGUUUACAGCAACAGAAGCCUACCUCAGUAAACAAAAAAAUCUCAAACAACCUGACUUUAUACUUAAAGCAACUAGAGAAAGAAAAACAGACAAAACCCAAAGUCAGCGAAAGGAAAGAAAUCAUAAAGAUCAGCAGAAAUCAAUGAAGUAGAAACGAAGAAAACCAUAGAAAAGAUCAAUGAAACUAAAAGCUGGUUCUUUGAAAAGAUCAACAAAAUUGAUAAACCCUUAGCCAGACUCAUCAAGAAAAAAAGAGGACUCAAAUCAAUAAAAUUACAAAUGAAAAACAAGUUACAACAGACAUUACAGAAAUACAAAUGACCAUAAGAGAUUACUACAAGCAACUAUAAACCAAUAAAACAAUCUAGAAAAAAUGGACAAAUUCUUAGGAAAAAAGUAUAAUCUUUAGAGACUAAACCAAGAUGAUAUAGAAAAGAUGAAUGGACAAAUUACAACUACUGCAAUUGAAACCGAGGAAAAAACUUCCAAUAGGAGUUCCUGUCAUCUGUCAUGGCUCAGUGGAAACAAAUUUGACUAGUAUCCAGGAGGUUCGAUCCCUGGCCUCACUCAGUGGGUUAGGGAUCUGGCGUUGCUGAGAGUUGUGGUGUAGGUCACAGACAUGCGGCUCAGAUCCCGUGUGGCUGUGGCAUAGGCCAGGGUCUACAGCUCCAAUUCCAUCCCUAGCCUGGGAACCUCCAUAGGGUGCGGC